rnacentral:rRNA from 1 species
CCUACGGGGUGCAGCAGUAAGGAAUAUUGGGCAAUGGCCGAGAGGCUGAACCAGCCAAGCCGCGUGAGGGAAGACGACCCUACGGGUUGUAAGCCUCUUUUGUCGUGGAGCAAAACGAGUAACGUGUGACCCAUUGAGAUUACCCGACGAAAAAGCAUCGGCUAACUCCUUGCCAACAGCCGCGGUAAUACGGAGGAUGCGAGCGUUAUCCGGAUUUAUUGGGUUUAAAGGGUGCGCAGGCGGGGGUGCAAGUCAGCGGUCAAAUGGCGGGGCUCAACCCCGUACUGCCGUUGAAACUGCAUCCCUUGAGUGCGCGAGAAGUAUGUGGAAUGCGUGGUGUAGCGGUGAAAUGCAUAGAUAUCACGCAGAAAUCCGAUUGCGAAGGCAGCAUACCGGCGCGCAACUGACGCUCAUGCACGAAAGCGUGGGUAUCGAACAGGAUUAGAUACCCUUGUAGUC